UACGUAGGAGGCAAGCGUUGUCCGGAAUUACUGGGCGUAAAGCGCGUGUAGGUGGUGGGACAAGUCUGCUGUGAAAGCGCCUGGCUUAACCGGGCGAGGUCGGCGGAAACUGUCCGACUAGAGGACGGUAGAGGGGGGUGGAAUUCCCGGUGUAGUGGUGAAAUGCGUAGAGAUCGGGAGGAACACCUGUGGCGAAGGCGGCCCCCUGGGCCGGCCCUGACACUGAGACGCGAAAGCGUGGGGAGCGAACAGG
rnacentral:rRNA from 1 species